AGUGAACGCUGGCGGUAGGCCUAACACAUGCAAGUCGAACGGCAGCACAGUAAGAGCUUGCUCUUACGGGUGGCGAGUGGCGGACGGGUGAGGAAUACAUCGGAAUCUACUUUUUCGUGGGGGAUAACGUAGGGAAACUUACGCUAAUACCGCAUACGACCUACGGGUGAAAGCAGGGGAUCUUCGGACCUUGCGCGAUUGAAUGGGCUGAUGUCGGAUUAGCUAGUUGGCGGGGUAAAGGCCCACCAAGGCGACGAUCCGUAGCUGGUCUGAGAGGAUGAUCAGCCACACUGGAACUGAGACACGGUCCAGACUCCUACGGGAGGCAGCAGUGGGGAAUAUUGGACAAUGGGCGCAAGCCUGAUCCAGCCAUACCGCGUGGGUGAAGAAGGCCUUCGGGUUGUAAAGCCCUUUUGUUGGGAAAGAAAAGCAGCAGGUUAAUACCCCGCUGUUCUGACGGUACCCAAAGAAUAAGCACCGGCUAACUUCGU
rnacentral:rRNA from 1 species